GUCAGUCUCCCCACCCUACAGCCAGACGCCCCCAACUCGGGGCUGCCUCUCAGGCAAGUCUGUCGAGCUCCUAUUGUCUCAUCCCCUUUGAGCUGGGUUUUCUUCUUCUUGAAGCUAACGGCAUUUUAGUUGGCAUAGCCUGGCCCGCCAAGGGAAGAUGAGCUUUCUCUCCUUGUUCCCAAGAAAGCAGAAUUAGAACUAGAGGAAAGUAGGUAGCCCCCUUGAUGGAAGGAGCUGUCCUGGAGUGAGUGCUCCAGUGUUUGGAGCAUCCAAGCGGAGGCUGGGGAACCUCCAGGAGAUUUCUAAGAGGAAGCGGGGACAUGGCUGCAGGCAUGCACCCCACCCUCAAGGUGGGGGCUCUCAGACCCUUAAAAGUGGGGGCAGGACUGAUGCCAAACGCCCCUCCUGCUGCAGGACAACUUCUCAAAGGGAAACGAGGGCAUCCAGUUCGUUUUUCUCACAUUUUCUUCAAAAGAGACCAGGAGUGUUGAAAUCAUUCUUCCCAAAUCGCCCAUGUUUUAAGAAGGCGAGUCCAAUUGGUGCUAACAUAAUAGUGCGUAUUAUAACUAAUAUAUCAGCUCUGUGGCAGGUGCUGCAGUUACAUUGUACUUUCUAGUUGUUUUUUGUAUGCUUCAUAGUAAAAUGGGCCCUUUCGCAUAAUUAAUGUGAUUGAUGAAGCAAUGUCCAUCUUAUCAGGCACACCACAUAAAUUCUUGGCACAGUGAACUGUUGUAAAGGUUUGUGGUUGUGACAUCUUUGCUUUCCUGACGUACUAAGAGUCAUAUUCGUGAUUUAAUUGUUGUGAAACCCAGGGUCGGGAAUGCUUCCCAAGCUCGCCGUGGCGAUACUGUUCUUGUGGGGGAGAGAGGCCAGUGUGCUUUAGUCAUUUUGCUGAUUUAUAAACAUGUUGCCCAUUCUAGGUUCCUUUCACAAUCCCUUCUGGAUGUGUCAUCUGUGAAUUUAUUUAAACAUUUUAAAAAUCAUUUCCAGCGUGUACCACCCACAGCCUUUCUUCCAUUUCUGCUAAACUUGAAUUUCCUGAGCUGCCAGCAUCUUCGGCACCCUCCCCUUGGACUGGUCUCCCGGGGGGAUGGCAAACAGUGCUCGCCGCUGUCAGCAGUGGCCGGCCUCCCUUCCCACCUGACACCACUUUGAUUUAGUUUCAUGUAAAUGGCUUGUUUACUUCUCCACUGAAUCUCAAAGCAAAUUAAUAGUGUCAGUGGCUUUUGCUAAAUGAAGAUGGAAUGAGGCAGAGACCGCAGAAUAUAUUGGUGCUCCUUUGGCAGCAUUUGACGAGGUGAAAUGAAGGGAGGUCUCGACUCCUGGCUGCCUUGAUCGGUAGGUGACUUUAUGCAAGAAGAUGAGUGAGAGAAAGGCGUCCUGCAGGACAUGUGUCCCAGGUUGUCACUGAGUCGAGGACUCAAGGUAGACAGUGGGGCUCCUUAUUUGAGUCACUAGAAGCAGCGUUUUAGUUCUUAAAUCAAAUAGCUAGUCCCCAAGUAUCAGGCUCUUCUGCCUAUUUUGUGACCUGUAAGAUGGGGACAGGACAGGAAGAACCGUGAAUGUUCUCAAAUGUCCGGGAUAAUAGGCAUUGUUUUCUUAAAUUAUCUCUGCUUCGUGUAGAAUCAGUUCACUGAGCUAGAAGCCUCUGGAAGCUGCUGUAGCUGCCCCUAGCUGGCGUGUUUGCCUCUUUCUUAGUCCAGAGCUGUGGAUGGAUGUCUGAGGUCUUUCUUCUUGCCCAGUGCCUAAGUGACCACAAAAACUGCUAAGGCUUGCCUGUGGGGUCCGGCCCAGCGUGUGACCCACCAGCCCCAAUGCUCUGCAUGCCCAGGUCCCCACUGAACUACCCGCUCCUAUUAUGCAGUGUGGGAAAAUGAGACUUCUGACACCUAGAAAGCCUGUCCCUGGCCAGGAGCACUUGGUAGCAGAGAACCAGAGGGAUCAGACUUCAGCAGCACAGCCCACUUCCAGCCAUUGCCCUCCGGCCAGGAGGAACCACUCUGUACGUUUUUGUGCAGACUCACCCUCCUCUCUGACUUUUUUUUGGUGAGGAAAAUUGUCACUGAGCUAACAUCUGUGCCGAACUUUCUCCACUUUUGUAUGUGGGACGCCACCACAGCAUGGCUUGAUGACCGAUGUGUAGGUCCAUACCUGGGAUCUGAACCCAUGAGCCCUGGGCCGGGCCCCUGAAGUGGAGUGCACAAACUUAACCACUAUGCCACUGGGCCAGCCCCCUCUCUGACUUUUUGACAGCAUAGAUUGCUGGUCCUUAUUGAGGGCCGAUGAGGCUAUGUGUUCACUCUCUCUAAUGCCCCUAACCACUUGCAGGGUCUAUGCUACCCCUCCCAUUGGAUGGAUCGGGGAACGCAUGCUCCCAGGAGGGAGGCUCCUGCCUGGAGUUACUCUGUUUGAGGGGGCAGAAGUGGGAUUCCUCCUCUGCACACUGAGAUGCCACACACUGUCUGUUGAUUUACUGAAGCGUAAUUGGAGGUUCUCUUACAAAAAGAUUGAACGAAGUAAGAGGGUGUGGGCUCUGGGUGCCUUGCCUAUGCCCGCUGGCCUGGUUUUGUCGUUUCCCUGGGUUCUGAUGCUUCAGCUCUGUUAGGGCAGGACAUACACCCUUGCUCUCUGCCCCGUCCAGGCCCCCUUGGCAGAGCAGGGAGCGGUGGCGAGUGAGGCGUGCUCUGGGGAGGUGAGUGGCGGUCGUUGACCCUCAUUUAGGGGAGGGCCUUGGGGGUGAGACAGAGGAGAACGUGGUGCUCUAUGUUUCAGGCAGUGUUGAGUGUAAUCUUGUUGAUCUGCAGGGGUAAGAAUAAAUCUUAUGGCCUUUCCUUUUCUGCUUCCUUUCCCCCUCUGACCGUCCUUGUGUCUAUUGGCCCGUUUUACUUUAUCGCUGUUUCCCCCACUGUUUUAGUGAUCCUUUUUUAUUUCUUCUCUUGUGAAUGAUCAGUUCGUGUUUUCCAGUGCCAAUUCUAAGCCUAGAUCAGUAACAGAGAAAGGUCUCUCAGUUUUAAAGGGCUUGCUCACUUUCUGCCUCCGUGUUGCCCGGAAAAUAGGCGUUCUGGAAAACAUGCGCCUCACGGGACCUUCUUCCUGAACCUUCCACUGGUGUCGCUGGGUUUUCUCUGCUCACAGCUUUUCCAUUGGCAGUAAUUUCCCUGCUCUUUAGUCAUCAUGGACACCAGAGAACCUUAAUACCCUUGGAACUCCUUACUGCUUAAGGAAAUUUUACCUGUGCUUGAAAACAUCUCAGAUGCCACCGCCUCCAUGAGGCCCACCCUGAAUUAUCCCCAGCUGGAUAUAUCCUCUCCCUCUUUUACACCCUUCAGGACUGAUGUUCUCUCUCUUUAAUUGUUGGGGUUUUUUUUCUUCUUUAAAACAUGUCCUUUCCCCAUAUUUUCCUAGUUGUCAAAGUAAUACAUAUUCAUCAUAGAAAAAUGGAAAAUGCAGAAAGGCACAAAGAAUAAACAUAAGAAUUACCGAGAUAGCAAUGGGCUCUAACGUUUGUCAAGUCUGACAUGCAGGGACCGUCUAAGCUCUUUCUGUGUAUUAAUUCUGCUCAUUUUCACGACCUCUCCUCAAAGGUAGCUAUUGUUAUCUGAGGACAUGAUGUUGGAGGUCAUCACAGAGAUGUGUCUCAGGGGGUGGCCUGGAGGCCUUGUUGACCUCUGCUGGCGCACGGCCGUGUGAGUCAGGCCGAGCUGUGGGCCUGCUCGCUGCUCCUGCCCCCGCCUCUGUGGCCUGGGUCCCGGGUGGGCGUCUGCCCUCUCUGUUGGAUGCUGGCUGUGACUUUCGGAUGCCACCUCUCUGCUUCACUUUCUUCCCACUUCCUCGCAUGUGACUUUUCCUUGGGUCAGACAGAGGCCACCACACUUCAAGGGAAAGCCGGGUUUUAAUUGUGGGAAUAAAAAGUGCAAGAAAUAAUACCCACAGUUAAAUGUAUGGAGUGCUUACCACGUGCCAGACCCUGGUCUGGGAGCUGCGUGUGGGUGACCCAUUUAUCCCUCACAUCAUGGCUGCCGCUCGGACCGGGGAGGUUAUGGAUGAGGGGACUUCACCACAGAGAGGUUAUGAAACUAGAUUGAGCUACACAGCUAGAAUGUGGUGAGAUUCAAGCUGAGGUGGGUGGUUUCCUGAGCCCGAUUUGAACUGCUCGCUCUCUGGCGUGACCUCAUGUCCAGUGCUGAGACAACCAAAGCCAGCCUCUGCGAGUCAAAGUGGGGCCUGAGGCGGGGAGGAAAAUCUCUGCGGUAACGUUAGGAUUAGAACGAGGAUCGAGGAAAACCUCACGGGCCUCUCCCCACCCCGGACCACAGGAGGGUCCCCAGGCUGGAGGGCAGGGCAGGAGAGAGUGACACAGGGAAGACUGGACGGGGUCCAGGUGGAGAGAGGAAGGCCAGCACUGAGAGACUCAGGGAGCGGCCUGGAGCUGCCCCGUGCCCAGAGGGCUUGUUACAUUCGAGGAUGUGCCCUUGGCAGAGGUGUCCCAAAUGGUCUUUGUCUAGUCACUCCAGUGUGUAGCCUUCUGGUCACCUGUGGAUCAGCCAUCAGAAUGACACUCACAGGAGCCUGGAGACUUUGCCAAGUCCCAUCUAAACUGCCCUAUGUGGACACCACGUUCUCUCAAGGUCCGUCACACCGUAGCCCCUUGAGACAGAGCGUAGGGGGUCUUGACAUGCAGAGCGAUGGUGGCUUUGCUUCUGAACUUGGGUGGGAACAGACAGUGGUGAAAUCCAUUCCCUCUUCCGAUAUUCAAGGGUCAAAUUGUAAGUCCUCACCUUUCCAGGUCAUGGGAGGUCAGAGAAGGGGAUGAUCGUGUGGAAGAAGGCUGGGAGGACUUCUUGGAGGAAGGAGACUAUAACCUGGCUCUAGGAGGACAGAGACAAAUUCCUGUGGAGGAGGAGGGGGGCGGGAACACACACCAGGCUGAAGCGAAGGGGCGAGAGAGGGGAGCGCGCGGCGUCCAGGGAUGUGGACUGAGAGGACCCUCUCGAAGGCGGGUUGGGGUAGGAGGCAAGAUUCUGCACCCUCUGGGGUGGGCAUGUGAUGGGGUCAAGGAGAAGAGUGGGUGUGAGAAUCAGACCUGGGCUCGAAUCCUAGUUGUGCAACUUACUAGCUGUGUGAAUUCUGGCAAGUCACAUACCCCUAAACCUCACCCCAGCCUCAGUUUCUUGAUCUGUAAAAUGGAAAUCAUGACACCUACAUAAGGAAGGCACAGUCGGGACCUGGUGAGAUAAUAAACACACAGUGUCCCACCCAGUGCCUUUCGGGUACAUAGGACUUGCUUAACAAAUGGCAUUUAUUACUCUUGUUCAACUGGGAAGUCCCUCCUGUGGGUCGUGGAAAUCUCCACCCACCGCUGUUUUGUUUUUUAUGUCUUCGUUCAGUGUCUCCAAGUACCAUUGAAAACACAUUUGUGAUAUUGCGAUUUAUGAUAAGAAAUAUAUAUUUGAUCUUUGUCCCCAUUUCUGGGACAGAGCUCUUAAAACCCUUGGAAUUUCCUGAGCGAUAAGAUGCAAACAAUGAUAACAUCUUUUGUUAUAAUAUUUAGUCUCUUGUCCUUAGUUACUAAAAUCACUUCAGAGGCAUAAAGGUGAAAUGGGUGUCUUGUUAUUCCCAGCAAGCCCCUUUCCACCACAACUGGGUUCGUGUUAACGAGGUGACUUUUGGAAAGCCCCUAUGGAUGGGGGCUGGUUGCCAGGGGAACCAACCGUGAAUGCAGUCCCGCCCCUGCUGAGGGUUGCAUCAAUCACCAAUGGCUAAUGCUUUCAUCCAUCAUACCUGUGUGAUGAAGCCUCCAUAAAAACCCAAAACGAUGGGAUUUGGAGCCCUUCCAGGUUGGUGAACCCGUGGAGAGCUGGGGAGAGUGGCAUGCUCUGGGAGGGCAUGGAAGGUCAGCUCCCUUUCCCCAGACCUUGCCCUCUGCAGCUCCUCCGUCUGGCUGUUCCUGAGUUGUAUCUUUUUCUAAUAAACUGGUGAUGUAGAAGGUAAAAUGUUUCUCUGAGUUCUGUGAGCUGCUCUAGCAAAUUAGUUGAACCCACGGAGAGGGCCAUGGGAACCUCUGAGCUGUAGCCAGUCCUUCAGAAGCACAGAAGACAAGCUAGCCUUGUGAUUGUGUGAAGCAGGGCGGGGGUUGGGGCCGUCCUGUGGGCCUGAGCCCUUAACCUGUGGGAUCUGAUGCAAUCUCCAGGUAGAUAGUGUCAGAACUGAGUUGAUCUGUGGGACACCCAGCUGGUGUCUGAGAAUUGCUUGGUGGUAUGGGAACCCCAGCCCCUACUGCACCAUCGGAAAUAGGUUCAGAACUCUUUAACAUUCUAGCCUUGACAUCUAAAAGAAAUUGGGAAAAAUCCUAGCAGAUGUCCAGCUAGAAGAAAAUUAUACAGUGGGCAUAAAGGAAAUGUUGGGAUGCUAUUUCUACAUUUUAUUUGCCUUCGGUUUGGUUUUUACAGGAAGCCAUAUUCAUCUGAGUAGUUUUCCCAGCAAGCUUUGGAAACAUGUCUGGUUUCUUCAUGCACAACAGUGAUGCUUCUGGCUCCUGUCCAUGGAUGGAUCAGGGUUCAAGGAGAGCUGUUUGGCUUGGAGGGGGUUCGAAUUUGCCCUCAUCCACUCCACCCUCUCUUUGCCCAGCACUGGCCUGGGAAAAGGAGAGAAGCUGAUGGAGUCGUGUUGCAGAAUCUUCACCCUCAGCCCUUCUCCGUGAUGCCAUUCCCACCCCAGGAGUUUGAAUGGGAACCCGAGGAGCUGAUGACCCUGGAAAAUGAGACAGCAGCAGAAGAGCUCUCGGGUUAAGGGGGAAUUUUCCAGGUGAAAUGAUUAGUGGCCAGGUUGCUUUAACUAAUGAGCUUUUCAAUCAGAGUAAUAAAUAUUCAGAUAAGUCCAGUACUCAAUUGGUGAAAGCACCAAGCCAAGUUAGGACUAGAUGGGAAAUUAGAGCUUAUUUGGCCCAAGCCUCUACUUGUUCCCCUUUACAGACGCAUAAAUACGAAGGUCUUCUGUGUUCUAGACAGCUUCCCAUGUCUGUGUUUUAUUGAGUGUAAGCCAGGAAAGGCCUGCCUAUGGUCACCUCUACUGAUAGAACUUAAAAAUUUAAAAAAACAAAACCAACUUCUGGUUGUCCUCUCCCCCUAACCUGCCUAUCCAUCUGUUCAGGAUACUUUUCACAUUCACAGGGAUGUCACCAUGGCAUGUAGCCCCGUACCGGGCACAGAGCAGGCAUCCGGUAGAUGCUGAAUGCUGAAUGUGGCGGCCAAGGCCCUUCUGGAAUGUCGUGUCUGUCACCACUUCACUUCUCCACGUGUGUCUGCCUGCAUUUAGCCCCUUCCCUGGUCCACCUAUCAGAGGCACAGAAUUUAGACCCUGGCACCGAUGUAAAAGAUCAGCUAACCUGGUUUCCAAAACUCACUCAUCCAUGUGUCACCUUCACAGUUAUUUGUAAUAUUUGAGUAUUAAUGGACAUUGUUGAACAGAUUUUUAAAAUCAACUUCUCUUUUGAAACUUAAUCUCAUUUCAAAAGAAACGUUCAGGGGCUUGAUGACCUAGUUAUAUUUUUAUAUCAGAAAAUAAAUCUGUAUCAAUUUAAAUGAAAUAAAAUAAAAACAAAGAGUGUUCAUUUUGCAUUCCAUUUGUGGGAUCUGUCUUGCAUUUGGUAGGUACAGUUGUAACUGAGCCUCUCAAUGGUACAGAUGAGGAAACUGAGUCCUGCUGAUGUGAAGUUACUUGCUCAAGUCCACACAGCCAGCCAAUGGCUGAGCUUGGACUUGAACCCAGAUCAUCUGAAUUAUCCAUACAUCUUGGCAACCAUCUAUCCAUCCAUUCAUGCAGACCCACAAAAAUGUUUGCAAUGCAGACACAACUCCAGAUGUGGUGGCAGAUGCAGGCAAUAGGUUGGAGUGCCUGUUCUGGUUAGACUCAGGAUUUGGUGGAGGAGACAGUGUUCUAACAAGCCAUCUCGGCAUUGAGUUAUGUGACAAGAGCUGUGCUAGAGAUAGGUGCAAAGGAUCAUGGGAGAGAGGAGCUCAAAAUCUAGGAUUGUGCAACUGGGUCCUUGUGCUGCCCUUAAUCCAGAGCUAAGGAGAUAUCACUCUCCCAGCAAUAAAUACCUCUCAGCCACCAAAUUCUGUCAUGUGUUAUAGUACAGUGGCUAAGAGAAGGGUACCACCUUCAGACCUGAGUUCAAAUCCUGGGUGUGCAUAUCACUAGCUCUGUGACACAGGCGCAUUCUGUCACCUCUUGGAGUCUGGCUUCCUUCUGUAGCUGAGGUUGGCAUGGUCUGCCUAUAUCUUAGAGACGUGGGAAGGAAAUGAAGCCACACUUAUAAAGCACCGAACAGUGUCUGACCCAUAAUAGAUUUCUCAAGAAAUGAGAGCUAUUAUGUAUUAUUGUCGAUGGAUUGUUGCCUGCAUGCCUGCCAUAGCCCUUCCUCACACCAAAUCAUGGCAAGUUUUUCCUCUUCUCACCAGUGUCUCUGUUAGUGCAGAAGCCUGAUGUGAGGGUCUUUAGAACAGCCUUUCACAUGGCCUAGGACCCUCUGAUCACGGUUCUGUUCAUGUCCUUUGUCAAAGCACUCACUUCUCUUGCCUGUGCAGAUGAGAAGUCGACCCUUAAACAUAACUUUGAGGGUGGUUCUUACGAGCAAAAGUCAGCAUAAAACAUGGUGGCCUCAUGGUCUCUGGGCCCAGCAAAUGGAAGUUGGGCCGAGUCUGUCUGACUUCAUUUCUGGAGGCACACAUCGCUCCAGCAUUCCCCAAGCUGGGCAGCGAGGAAAUUCUCAUGUUCCCAACACUUUCAACAAUGCCCCAUUGUGCUUGGUGACUCAUGAGUGGGCCCAUGUCCAUGGAACAGCGUGUGUCUCUGCAGCGAGCACAGUACCUUGCUGUAUGUUUGAAAUAAUUUCGUAGGCUUGUCUCCACCACGGAUGUUACUUGCCAUCUUUUCUGACAGUUGCUGGAAGCUUGUUGUAUCAGAGAAAGCCAGGAAAGGAAAGGGCUCUGACUCUUUCCACUGGGCAACUGAGCACGUUGGAGAUCGUGCCCGGGAGGGAGACUUGGGUUCAAGCUGAAUUAAAAGCCAAAUCUUGGGUAUCUUUGAAAAAAGGUGCUUACCUUAGUUGGCAGGUCAAAGAAAACUCUCUGGUCGUCCAUAAUUGCUGUGGCUAGCGCCAAGGCUUUCUUACCCUUGACAUGCAGGGGAGAGGGCAGCGGGAUGUUAAAACAGCUCGUCGGACGUGCCAGGGUCAAGGAGGCACUGCAGAUUGUGUGCAGAUGCAGCCCAUUUGCCCCUUGUGUUGUUAAGAUCACGAAGUCGGGCAACUUUAUAGGGCACGAAGAACCCUAGGAACACAGGCUCCAUCUCUAACAUUCCAAAGAGAGGGGAGAGUGGCUGGCGUCUACUCAGUCCCGGGGACGCCUUGCCCUGUUGCUUUUUCCUACUGCCUGGCACAAAUGCCUUGGCCGUGCUGAGCUUCAGCCACAUUUGAGGGUCCCAUGAAGCCAGUGGGCCCAGGGCCAGCCUUGCUUGUGCCAUUUCAGACCUCGGCACCAUUGCAGCUCCUGGAAUGCCCACGUCUCCCUGGCUCCCGGCUGGACUCUCAGUCCCCCGCCAGCAGCCCAUGCAGACUGCAGUUGUUCCAGAGGGCCUUCUGGAAUGCCUAUUCCUUGGGUAGCUGCCUCUGGUCCCCGCAUGGGCCCCCACCCUCUAUUAUAAUACUAAGAAUGAGAUUAAACCUCCUUGGCAAGGUCUUUGCUUACUGCUCUCUCUGCUCAGCUAGACAGUGGGUUUUCUGAGAGCAGGGACUUUGGCUAUCGUGCUCACUCUUAUGUCAUCGUCACACAGGAUCUGUCCUGGCAGGCGGAAGGCACUCAGUAAAUGUGUGCUGAGAUAGCAAAUGAAGAAAUGAAGGGAUGAAUGGCAUCCCCAGGUAAUAGUCUGUGUAUGAUGAGGCAUGUAAGUUCCUGGGAUCCCUGAAACUCCUACAAUUAGCCAUCGUGUCGUGUAACUGUCUUGUCACUAGAAGAUCCCUUUAAAAGUCCUAUCUGUUGCCUGUUAUCAUUCAUCAAUACCUUUGCAUGAAUGAGGAUUACAGGUACCUGAGGAGACAGACUUGGCCUGGUGCUGCAAAGGGGUGGAAGUAGGGGAGGAUACAUGUGUUGUGUCAGAUCAGAGACAAGUAAGAAAGAUCCGGAGUGCGGCUACGGGGUGCCGUCCAAACGGGUCCCUGAAAUGAGGGGCCUCUUAUGAGUAUGACACCUUGAAGGGGAAGAGGACUGGGAAAGAGAAGGCAAGAGGUCAAGUGUUCCUAUUAGCCCUGAGGCCAAGCCUGGGGGUAUCUUAGACUUGUUAGGGGGAGGGGCCCAGGUGAGUUCCUUGUCCUUGUUUCUAGCUCCUUAGACAAGGGGUAAUUCCCUAACCCAUCUGCACUCAUUUACUUAUUCUUUCAUUGAACUAAACCACACUGACUGCCUAUGAUGCCCUGGGACCUGUUCCACAUGUUGGGGAUGCAGUGAAGAACAAAACAGACAAAUUUCCUGCCCUCAUGGGGCUUACAGUCUAAUUGGGGAGAAACAGACGCUAGACAAAUAAAUCUGUGAUGCCAGAUAACCAUAGUGUUCUGAAGAAAAAUGGAGGAGGGAAAGGCAGUGGUGAGCGAUGGGGUGUGAUUUGGUUACUGCGCAAAAUCGGGGUUCACUUGCCCGAUGCGCAUAAACAAGCCAAUUGAUUAUGGCAUCAGCCUUUGGGAAAAGAGAUCAGUUUAUUCUGUGAGAUCAACCUGCAGGGAGAACAGGGGGUGUGUGUCCCCAGAUCUGUCUCCCCGGUUCAGGAUCUGGGGUGAAAUUUAAGAAGUUAGGGAGAACAGGCUGGCACACGGAAAUGCUGGUGGGACGGAGUUUGAUUGGUGGGCCUCAAGUGUGUAUGGUAAGGUUUGAACAUGUAUGACAGUGUUCUAUACAUGUAUGAUGAGAUGGGGAGGGAAUUUUAACACCAGAUCUCCCUGAAUGAGGGGCUCCUCGCUUCUGAUAAGAGUCCAACUUUCAAGUUCGGGUUGUGUCCUGGUCCUUGGGUUCUGUGGGAAGGAGGAUCUUUGGUUCCACGGUCAAUUCAGGUCACAAUUUUGUCUUUUGUGCAUGCCCUGGCUACGUGACUUUGCAGAUUUUCCAAAAGGCAAUUCUUAAUCACUCUGUUGAUAAGAGAUGAGGUCAGCUGAACCGGUCCUGGAGGGCCUGUGGUUACAGUUUUAGAUAGUGCAGUCAGGGUGGCCACCUUGAGGGGACGCCAGGGCAGAGUAUAAAGCAAGGGGCCCUGAUGUCUGGGCUGGUCGUUAGUGGGAGACAAAGAGACUAUAUGCAGGCCCCAUUGCUUUUGACAAGCAUGCAGAAGGGGGCCAAAGACAUUCUUUGGAAAUAAUUCUUUCCUCUGAGCUGAACAGAGGUCUUCAACAGACAGGUGUGCCGGGCAUCCUCAGCUUGGAGUUGGCUGCGAGAUGUUCCCCCACUGAGCCUCAGCUUGCUCCUCUGUGAAGUGGACAGCAAUUAGACGCCCUUCACAGGGGUCUCUGAGGGUUAAAUGAGCUGUCCCCUGUGAGAACUGCUCUCCGUGAAUGGUAAGGGACUGAGCUGGAGAGCGGAAUUUACGUGUUCACCACUUGUCAACCUUCAGGGUACUGAGAUCCCACCAGCAGUUGGCUGCUUGCUGAUUCUGGGGAGCUGUUAGACACCCUCCUUCAUGCUCCCAAGCCAGAUCCCCUACCCUCUGCCCCAGGACUCCCAUUAGUGUUAGGGUCCUACAGUCCAGAGGUUAAAAGUGGUUCACACAGGGCUGGUUGGUUUUCAGCUGGCAUGUAAGAGCAUCGCAAAAUCGCCAGUAUUUGUCCUGAUCAGUUGGUGCCUAUAUCAUACCAGAUGUUAACAUUUUUUGACUCUCAAUCUAGUUAAAAACAUGGACUUGGAGCCAGAGGGCUGGAGUUCAAAUCCCAGCUCCCCUACUUACCAGUUUUGUGACCUUGGGCAAGUUCCUGCCCACACCCCUAUUUCUACACCUGUAAAAUGGGAAUCGUACCAGUGCUACUCACAGGACUACGGGAAGAAUUAUAUGAGUUAUGCAAAGGCGCUUGAAGCCAUGCCUGGCACAUAGCCAUGGGUCAGUGUUUGCGAUUCUUGUCCUUACUUUCGUUCCUUCUCCACUUUUCCUGUGACUUCCUGUGGAGAAGAGGUCUGUUCUGUUCAUCUCUUGGUUGCCACUGGCUCUGUCAGCCUUGGGAUUGGGUAGGCGCUCAGUAAUUGUUGGGUGGGUGCAUGAAUGGAUGGAUGGAUGGAUGCCUCUAAACUUUAUGAUCAAGGCCUUGAGGGUGAUGAAAGAAAAUAUGGAGGGGGCUGAUGGUACAGUUUGGAGAAGGGGCAGAGCAUGGUGCAAGCUUCUCAUUAAAUCCUCUUUUCCUGCAGAAAUGCCUGAGGAUGAGGACUGAGGGGAGAGGGGCCCUGGCUCAUCUCAUCUGAGUUCCACGGCUGACCCGGUGUGGCUUCUGCGCCAAGCGUGUUAAGACACUAUCCAUCUCUUACUCCUCACUGCCACCCUGGGAGGCAGUACUGCUGUUGGUUCCAUUUCACAGAUGAGGAAGCUGAGGUUUGGAGAAAUGAAGUGGCUUUCUUAUGGUCACACCCAAGACUACUAAUUCCAGAACCAUAGCCCUAACCUUUAUGCUCCACUGUUGAGUCUGUUCCCCAGCCACUGUAUUAACACUGUAUUAACAGUUUUGCUGCACAGCACUGGGCUAAGGACUCACUCUUUGGAAGUCCUUGUUUCGUCUGAGGUGAGCAGGGCCCUUUGACAGGUGAAUGUGCCCCGCCCUGAGUGCUAGGCAUUCUCAACCUGGGGUCUUCAUGCCAGCUUCUUCUUGGGAAAAUUCUGCGAUCUCUUUAGAGUGGUUUGGCUAAGUUCACUCAAUUCACAGGUAACAAUAAAGCUGGUGUCUGGUCAGGCACACUCUGCAUUCGUAAAUGUGAGUACAGAAAUGUGACGUUGAGGACACAGGGGAGGGAUCUUAGAAUGGAGGAAAGGCAGUGUUUGUUGAGCGCCAGCAGCCCCCGGCACCCUGUGUCCCUUCUCAGCAGUCUUCACUGCAGCUUUGUGAAGAGCUGUCUGUGAUCUCCAUUUUGCAGGCGAGGAGACUGAGGAUCUUAUCGGUUCUCUGGCUUACCCGAGUCAUGUGGCUGGGAAGGGCUCCUCCUGAGCCUUGAACCUGGGUCUCUCAGGCUUCCAAACUCUGCCCUUUGCACUGAUCUUCCCUGGGAAUGUGCGGCUGGCUGUGACAAGGAAUGGGGUUCCCACAGGUUCCUAACUAUCUGUGCGCACAGUGUACGGUUAGAGGUCUAGCCUAAACAUGAGUCAGUUCACAACGGCCGUGUUCUCCAGCCAUCUGACAACUAGAUGAUUUGCUCCGAGAAUGCUGGAUUCUUCCCCUGCCACUGCCCCCCUUCAGGGGAAAGUUCAUUGCUCAGAAGAAAUCCCAGUGGUAUACACCCCUAAAGAAUUGAAAGCUGGCACUCUGAGAGAUAUUUGUACACCAUGUUUGUACUAGCAUUAUUUGCAAGAGCCAAAAGGGGGAAGCAACCAAGUGUCCGUCAAUGGAUGGCUGGAUAAACAAAAUGUGGUAUAAACAUACAAAGGAAUAUUAUUUAGUCUUAACAGAAAGGAAAUUCUGACACGUGCUAUAACCCAGAUGAAACUUGAGGAUGUUAUGCUAAGUGCAACAAGCCAGUCACAAAAGGUCAAAUUUGGACUAUAUGAUUCCACCUAGAUGAAGUACCUAAAGGAGUCAAACUCAUAGAGACGGAAAGUAGAAUGGCGGCCGGGGGCUGCCGUGGCAGGUGUGCUGAAGUUGCAAGUUGUUGUUUAAUGUGUGCACACUUUCACUUUUUCAAGAUGGGAAGAGUUCUGGAGAUGGAUGGGACUGGUGAUGUCUCAACAACGUGCUUGAUGCCACUGAACUGUGCGCUUAAAAAUGGAUCAGCUGAGCAGCAUGGAACAAUUGCUUCUGCCUUAAUUUCUGAUGCUUUACAAAGGCUGAGCUGAAGGCUGCACCACCAGAAGCUGGGCUGUCGUCUGCAGCGUCAGGAGCUCCGGGAGCCAACGCCGGCUGGGCUCAGCUUCCCGGGCACAGCUUGGGAAGCGUGGGAACGUGUUGGCUCAGCUCAGGAGUUACUGGCUGCCUGCCAGGCACCUUUUGGUGGACACCUGUUCCCAGGGCCCUCAGCAAAGGCCAGCAGUGGCCAGUGUCUCUGUGACCAUGUCAGAUCAGUGGUCCCUGCUCACUGUUAGCCUGUCCAACAGGCUCCUUUGUGGUCACAUCCUUGCUCUGUAUCCCUCUGUCACCCCUCCAACCCAUACUCCAUGUUCCAGCCACAUCUCAUAUACCUGGGUGUUUUCCAGUUACCCCCACCCCAGACCCACCCUCCACUCUGCUCUGCCCAGCUCUGAGCCCCAGGAGUCAGAUGACUAGGGAUGCACCCCCAGGACCCCCUGCCCUGCCCUCUGGCUUCCUGUUGGGCUUGGCAGAUAGGCAGCCCCACAGGAGAUCUGUGGAGGAAGAGGAGAGAUAGGCAGGGGGACCCCUCCCUGAGGGGCCAUCUCAGGCUGGCUGCGUGCCUUAGAAGACUUGGAUCCUCUCAAGGUGGCCCUCUCUAGGAAAUUUUCUCUUUCUCCUUUCAGGUAACUGCUGCCUCCCUUCCUCCUUUUGAGGCCGGGGGUGGUACAGCCCUUGGAGUCCUGCACUGUCUCUCGUGGUCUCCCUGGAUCUUGCCCACCCCUCAGUCAAUAGUCUGUUUACUAAAGCCUUCUUGAAUUCUCUUAAUUUGAAUAUUCCUGCUGGAACUCAGACUGCUGCAUACGCUUUAUUAUUUUAUAUACCUGUACCUUUUCUCAUCUUUCCUCUUCUGCCAGAAUUCCCUUCUUCACUGUGGCUGCCUGUUGAACUUCUCUUCAUCCAUCAAAAUUCCACUCAGACGUCAGCUCUGUGAAGCCUGGCUUGAGUUUCCCAUUAGCAUUAAUUACUUCUCCCUUGGCCUUGUAUCACUCUUUGUGAUAUCAAUCUUGUCCAUAUAUCUACCAUCCCCAUCCUAACUCCUUGCUAAUCGGACAUGCCCAAACUUUCUCUCAUCGGAAUUUUUAAUGUUUAAUUCCUUCAAAGUCUGAUUAAGUGACUGUCUAAAGUGCCUGCUUCAAUGCCUGACCCAGAGUAGAUGCUUAAUAAAUGGUAGCUGUUAUCAGACUACUUCAUACUAAAGUAUGAAUGACUAUAUGAUUUAAUGCAUUAUCCCUCCCAAGAACAGCUCACAUUGAUAAGGGACCUUUUAGAGUUAAUAUUCCCUUCAACAAAUUUCUAAAUUGGCAGAGUAGGGUUGGGGGUGGUGUCGAGGCGUCUUCCUCUGGGGCUUCUCAAAUUAUAUCAAGUGCAAGGCCUCUCGGUCUGUAGGUUUGAGAAAACAGAGAAUCACUUCAGGUCAGUCUCUAGCACUCAGAGGCUGCUUGGAAAGGGGACAGGUUGCUCAAUAGUGGCCUGGGGGAGCAGCGUCUGUGGAAAAAGACAGAUGUGACUGGACCCAUGUCUGCUCGGCUAGUAUGCCCUUCCAGGGCUAUUGGAAUGUGAUUUUCUAAAUUGUGACUGGCUGCCUUUCUUCUCUUGUGGUUGAGUCUGUAAUAACAUAGACUAUGACUCUAGUUUUGCCAAAGUGGAAAAAAAUGCCAUCCAAUGGAUUUUUAUGAUGGUUCUUAAACAUUUUUUUUUAAUAUUAUUAAAGAUGUAGCUCAAUACUCCUUUAAUGUCCUGCUUUGGGGCUGACGAGCCAAGGCACAGACUCACGAGGCUGGGUGUGGGCGGUCGGGGGUGCUACCUACCCCUGGGAGGUGCCGACACUGGCUCGGUCGCUCAGUGCAAUUUUGCCUAAAAAUGGAGCUACCUACGUAAAUACAAAUCCAGAGUCUUUUGAUCGUCCACAGCUUGGGGCAGAGAUCAAAGCAAAGCGUCUCCCUCCUCAUUAAGUUCAAGAAGCCAGGGAGCCUUCUGUGUUCCAAGAAGUCCAAAUCCUCCUUCCCAGACUGCAGAGAAUCUCGGCUCACCCCUUAGGUGAUGGAGGGGCCGGCCGGGCGGAACCGCCUCGUGCAGGCUGACCUCCUCCCAGCCCUGUGGAGAAGAGUGGGCCGGGCUGACACAGCCUCAGGGUCAGGGUAUUUGGGGGCGUCUUUUCUAACAGGGUGGGUCCCACAGUUGUUCAUGCAGCUGGCAGACAGGCAGGAUUCUUGGGAAGAACCAAAACUGGCGUUUGCCGAGUGAGCAGUGUCUCGGAGCGGUUAGGACAGAAGGUUCUCAGUGAGGGGAUCAGCUAACGGGAGCAAGAUGGAAGGCCCCAGGGACUCUGCGUUUGCUGCCCUUCCCCCUCCCCCAGCUUCCCAUGUCACCAACAUCCUGAAGUUCCCCCUUUCGGGAAGCUGUCAUGUAGCCACUGUGAGGUCCCCAAACCUCGGAAGUGAGGCUUGUGACCUGGGCUGCAAAAGGGGUUUGUCCUGGUCCCUAACUGCAGCUGAGUUGACCUCCUUUCUGCUCCCUGCCCGACAGCGGGCUCCCGGCUCACGUGGUCAUGGUCUCUCCCAGCCUGCGUGGUGGCUCUGAUCACACACCUUUAUCGCUCUCUGGUCCCACCUCCGUUCUUAGUAGAUGCUCUAUAGUGUCUGUCAGUGGGAUGAUUCUGAACCUUCCUUGGAUAUGCUCUUUGUUAUCCUCCAAUGCAGUGCCUUCACCUCUUCUGCCUCAGUGUUUACUUUCUCGGAUUGGACCCAGUCUUGGAGGCCACUUCCACUGGUCAGAGGGGAGUGACGUGCUUGCUUUGUGUCUCUGGCCUCAGGAUGGCGUUACUGUAAUUCCAGCUUUAUGACUUGUGGCCGUCUGACUCCGACCUUUGCUCCACAUUGUGGCGUGGAGCAGGGCAAGCUCUCUGAGUGGAGCGGUGGCUGAAAUCCUCCCUGUUUCAAAGAACUGCACAUAAAUAUAUCUAAGACAUUUAAGAAAUUUGCCCGUCAAAACAUUUUGGGAAGAACAGCCAGAUUUUAUAAAGGAAAAAAGGGCAGUUUAAUGGGCAAAGAUGUUCUGACUAAUUCUCUGCUUGAGUGACUAUCCAAGUUAAGAGGCUGGUCGACUAGCAUUUUCAGGAAUCCAGAUCUCCGAGCUGACUUGUCAUUGGAGCAUCUUCAGGGGGUCACGUGCAGGGGCCCUGGUCGUCUCACCUAGUGUUGGACCUGCUCAGAGAACAGUUGUCUCUCCCCUGCCCAACCAGGACCCCACCACCCUGUGCAGGUUUCCGUGUCAGAAAGGUGAUGGGUGAACUUGAUGGCAGGAAGAUUUGCCUUAGGACUGGGGGUGGAGAGACAGUGGUGGGACAUGCAUGGCUUUGCUCUUUCUUCCCCCCACACCUGGAGGCUAGGAUACCUUCUCUGGAGAGCAAUGAUGGAGCAUCAGAGAGGUGUCUGCCCACUUGGAAGCACUGGCAUGGUAUUGAUGACUUUGAGAAAGCCAUGAACCUGGCACAUCUGCUCCCGGCUCCGGCUGCCUGUUCCCUAGGGCAGGUGCAUGGGGCACAGCAGACCCCACAGCAGAGAUAGUGAAGAUGCUGCUCCCAACUUUUGUAUUGUGGAGCAUUAUUUGACCCAAGGCAGGUCUCUUUACACCUUUGUGCCUCAGUUUCCCUAUUCAUAUGGCAUAAUAUGGCAAAUGUCCCAAUGCAGCCAAUAGGAGACCGUGUGCAGAGGAGGGGUUUGUCCCCCCAUCCCAUUCCCUCCCACUCCUAGUGGUCGCUUCUCACCUCUUGUUACUCCCUAGAUCUAUUUUACUCUUAGAUGGUUGCCAAUUUCUUUCUUCUUAGAUGUAUGCUGGUAAUAACUUGAGGGUAUUUUCUUUAAGAACCCUAAACAUAAAGGAAGAUUCUGGAAGGUCAGGAGCCUUUGAGGUGCAGCCGAAUGAAUCUCUAAUGAUAAUAUUUCAGCAGAGACUUGUUUUCUUUUCCUUUUUCCAAAUGAGAGUCUUUUCUCAAUCCCAUCGUGGUGGUGGAGGAACCUUUCUAUAUUUGAGGUCAUAUAGUUUGCUUUUUUCUGCUUAAUGUUAUAUGCAUUUUUUUCUUGUCAUUAAAAUUAUCUUGUAGGCAUCAACUUUUUAAAUUUUUUCAUAAAAAAUUUUCAAACGAUGCAGAAAAGGUGACAGAAUUUUAUAGGGAGCCCUCGCAUACCUACCCCUUAGAUUCUAUAUCCGUUAAUAUUUUACUCUGCUGGUUUUAUCAUGUAUCUCUCCAUCUAGCCCUUCCUCGCUAUAUCCAUCCAUCUACAACUUUUGGGGUGCAUUCAGAGUAAGUUGCAGGCGUCAGCACACACCCCCAGUAUAUUUCAGCAUGUGUAUUGUUAACUAAAGCUAGUUCCUUAUGGAUUUUUCUGAACAUACAAUAAAAUGCACACAUCUUAAGUGUACUAUUUGUACAUUUUUAAAAAACGUCAUUCUGUUUUAGUCGUGUAUCUCCACACUUCCUAACUUAACAGUUAAUUAAUUAACUACAUAACAACAGCCGGGUGACUCCUCUGUAUUCCUCACCCGGAAGGCGGAGGCCUGGGCUCCCUUAUUCUUCAGUGAUGGGGAGUCAGUGUGGCCCCACCCCUGUUCCCACCCGGUCUGCUCUCUCAGCAUCCUGGCAGUGGAUGCAGCUUUGCCCUGCUCUCUCCCCGCUCUAACCCUUGGUCAAGGAAGCCCAGAGCCACUUCCUGGGCCCGUCUACUGCAGCCUGGCCAGUCCAGCCAGACCCAGAAAUGCUGACUCAGUUACCAUGAAAUUGUUAAAAUAUUGUAGCCUUCAGCUACCACACUAGCAGUUGUGAGCUGCCUCUCAGUUUCUCAAGAGCUUGCCUUCAUGUUGUUUCAUUGAGACCUCACGCAGCUCAGUGGGGUAACUAUUAUCACUAUGGUAACCAUUUCUCACAUGGGGAUGCUGAGGCUCAGAGAGGGGAGGUCAUGCAGCUUGGGUCUGAAUCCAGGCCUGCGGGGUUUCACGAGCUGAGCUCUACUUGUGGCCCCACAGAGCUCUCCCCUGAGCCGAAUUCUCAGGCUGCGAAAUAGCGACAAUGCCUAUCACUAAAUAUGUGUCAGAACAACUUUCCGGGAAGUUUGACGUGAGGAGUUUGAUGUUAACCUGGCUGGGGGUUUGCAGAUGUAGUGACAUAAUUUGCUGUUCAUGCGGCACGGAGACAUGUGGUCUGGUGGGAAGAGCACUGGUUUUGGAGUCAGCUGACCUGGGCUCUUCAUAACUGAGCUGCGUGACCUCAGGCAAGUCACUUAUCAAGAAUCAAUAUUUUUUUAAUACGUGCCUAGUGGGGGACACACAUAAUCUCAUUUAACUCCUCCUCCCAACACCCUACCGUUGUUUUGAACCUUGCUUUAUAGAUGAGGAAACUGAGGCUCAGAGAGAUGAAGUUACUUGCCCAAGGUCACACAGCUGAGGAACCCAGGCUCUGGGACCUGCUCUCCUAACCGCAGUGCUACAUCACCGCAAUCUGCAAUGUGGGGCUAACUGGCUCUCCUUACGAGUGCUGUUGGUCUAUGAGGUCAGACAUGUAAAGUUUUCUCUCCAGAGGAAUAAGCCAUGGUCCCUUCCUUCAUGGUCCAAAUGCACAGGCUACGACUGGCUGCCUCUGGGCUAAAUUUGAUCCACAUGCUGUUUGUUAGAGAGUUUUGUUCUUUUAAUUUGGAUUGUCAACACUUAAAAAUUAAGAGCCUGUACAUAACAAUAUCUUUUUCCAGCUUCCCUUAAAAGAUCUAAACAUCUGGAGCCAGCCCUGAUGACCUAGUGGUUGAAGUUCAGCGUGCUCCGCUUUGUUGGCCCAGGUUUGGUUCCUGGGCAGGGAACCACAUCACUUGUCUGUCAGUAGCCAUACUGUGGCAGUGGCUCACAUAGAAGAGCCAGAAAAACUUACAACUAUACACAGCUAUGUACUGGGGCUUUGGGGGCUAAAAGGAGGACAAAAGGAGGAAGAUUGGCAACAGAUGUUAGCUUAGGGUGACUCUUCCCCUGCGGAAAAAAAAAAAGUUUGCCUUUCUUACUGGAAGAAUUAAAAAAAACAUAUCUGAACAUCUGCACAAAGUGGGUCCCCAUUUGGGCCUGAAGCAAUUGGCCGGCACUGAGGCAAAGCUGAUGCCUGCUCCCAGCUCCUCACGGUCCUCACCAUUCCCUCUUGGCUUCCCCUUCCUGAGGCUGAGUGUCAGUGGCCAUUUCUCAUCCUGCUUGCACUGUGGCUUUUCCGACACCAGGCCCACUUCACUCACUCAGGCCCCUGUGUGCAUGUGGGUUUGUAGACGGAGCAAAACCAAAUAGCUCAGUGGGGGCAUCUUCUUAUUAUUUUCUAGAAGGGAGCCAGAUCUCAGGUCAUUUGUUAUCUAUGAGAUUCAAAAAUCAGGGUGUUCUUGUGACAGUCAGCUCACGAUGUACCCAGGAGCAUUUGGAAGGCGUGUAUUUCCCAGCUUGUCACAAACCAGUGGUCUUGGAGAGCAUGAUGCUUCGUUAACGCUGCGGCUGUGUCUAGGGUUGUCAGCUUUUGUGUUCUUGGCAUUUUCAGCCCGUACCAACCCUUGGCCUGUAGUUUCCUCAUGGUUGCCCAAGGCCUUCCAGAAGCUCCUCCUCCUGAUUAUGCGUGUGUUCCCCAGGCUCAGCUCUGAAAGCGGAGAGGCCACGGGAACAGAGCUUUUCCCCCGGUGGGGUGGGCAUUAGGGGGAUACAUGAGCAUUUAAAAAGAAAAGUUAAUUGUAUGUGUUUAUUUUCAUGAAUACUAGAAAAAUAUAAUUAGCACAUCAAGUCUAUGAUUUUAAGAAUGUUAUUGCUUAGGAGGAAGCUAAGUUUUAAAAGAGUUAAUGUUGAUUUAAAGAGAAAUAGUAAGUAAAUGCUGCUACAGGUGAAAAGUCACAGCAAAAAUACAGGGUGUUGACACCUACAUGACUGAAGUUUGGGGCCUGUGUCAUCCUCUCCAUCCUCUUUGGGUCAAGUCCAGGGGCGAGAGACAAGGUCCACCUAUUUCCUCCCUUGCUCUCCCUCCAUCUCUCUCCCCUCCCCCGAGUCUGGGAGCCUUGACCUGGAGAUGGGAUGGGAUGGGAUAGAGACGGUGGGCAGAUUUGCUCUUCCUACUCACAGCUUCUCCUAAGUCUGUUGUGUUGUCUUUGCAAAUAGGCCCUUUACUGGCCUCGAAGGGACUACACUUUUGAAACUUAAGGCAGGAAAAGAUUCUUGUGCAGUGUCAUCUCUUUCUCAGGGUGGAGAAUACAGAACACUCUGGCAGCUGCAUGAAUGAGGGAGUCUCAUGGCCAACCAAAUAAAACCCUUGUUAGUUAGUACUUUUGAAGAAAUAGCCCCCAUACUUGGAUGUGGCAACUAUAUGUGCGGACUGCAGUGGUUGGAAAGAACAAAAGAACAUGAGGAUUGAAUUGAGGAAAUGAACUUGGCUGAAUGACUUCAUCUCUGAACCUCAGUUUCCUCUGCUAUAUAAUGGGACUCCAAAUAACACUCAACUUGAAGGGUUAUUGAAAGGACUAAAUGAGAUAUUGUGUGCAGAGUGGCACGUAUAAGUCCUCAAUAAAUAGCAGCCCGAAGGAUGAUGACGAUCCUGCCAGGCAGGCUUUCUUCAGGUGUUGAUGUUAAUUUAGGGAGAAAGAGGAGUUGUAUCUUGAGGUUUUGUGUUGGAGUUUUUGCCCAUGAGAACAUCUUGACAGAGGGCAUCGUCUGUUGGCAUGUUAACGGCCAUGCUCUAGGGCCACCCUUUUCCCCUGCCUUUGUUUGGUCUGUGGGGACAGGAACAUUCUGUUCUGUUGGUCAUAAGGCAAGGCUGUAGGAGUGGAGGGCAGCUCUGGGCACUUGGCUGCUUUCGAGAUUGGGUGAAAGCCAGUGAGGACUGGCUACAGGCCACUGGGUCACGUCCAGGAGAAGUCGCUCUCCCACCUGGCUCGCAGGCAUGAAUGCACAGUUAGAAUUUACUGAGUCUCAGCUGAGGGUCCAGUAGAGGAAAGGAGACACAUGAGCGCAUUACCUUGAGUGGAGAUCGCUAGAAUUCUCGCCAAGACGGCAUUAGCACAAAGGACAGAAACAGCCCAAAGAAACUAGCAUGGCUUCUCCCAGAGAGAAAUUAGAUUACUCUCCUCUCUUUGGUGGGUUUUGAUUUAGCUUGCAGUUAUUUUCAUUGAUUUUGCAGUAACCACACUUUCUAGUUUCUGUAUUUGAUGCUCCCCUCGAUGGUCUCAAAUGGAUCCAGCCCUACCAACAUCUUAACUUCAGCCAGUGAGACUGUUUUCAGACUCCUGGCGUCUGGAACUGUAAGAGAAUGAAUUUCUGUUUUUUCAAGCCCCUAAGGUUGUGGUAAUUUGUUACAGCAGCCACAGGAAACUGGUACACCUGGUUGUCCUUCAUUCAAUCAACACAUCUUUGAUGCAAAUCUUCUAUGAGGUGCCAGCCGUCCUUUCUCUCAUACAGUGCGUCUGCAGGGACAUGUCCGUGGGAGAUGCCACAUCUUAUCCACUUAUAGCCAAGUUGGUGACUGGGGGAGGGACGUCACGCUCCCUGUUCCUCAGAGGCUCCAGCCGGCUCUGUUUGAUGGCAGUGCUCUGAGUCUGAACUCAGGGGUUCCCUCCAGGGGAGGAGAAGGGCCAGGGUGUCCUGGGAGCCGUAGGGUGGGGAGACUAACGUGCACUUGUAGCUUCUUGCCCACACAAGGACCAGCACCCGGCCUGGGCUGAGCACAGGGAGUGGCCACUGGCAUCUUGACCCAUGUGACCUGAAUUAGUUUCCUAGUACCACAAAUAUAGUGGUUAAAAUGGCACAGGUUGUUUCUCUCACAGUUCUGGAGGCCGGAAGUCAGACAUCAGUCAAGGUGUUGGCUUUCCUCCCUGGAGGCCUUAGAGGGAAUCCAUUUCCCGGCCUUUUGUACCUUCUAGAGGCCACCUGCCUUCCUUGGCAGGGCCCCUGCUCCAUCUUCAAAGCCAUCACCCCAACCUCUGCUUCCAGCAUCACCUGCUUCUCCUCUCUCUCUCACCCACCCUGUGUCCCUCUGAGAAGGAUCCUUGUGAUGACAUUGAGCCACCUGGAUAACGCAGGAGAUCGCAAGAGCCUUGACUUCAUCACAUCUGCACAGCCCCUUUUCCCAUGUGAGGUCACAUUCACAGGUUCUACGAGUUAGGAGGGGGACAUCUUUGGGAGCCAUUAUUCGUGCCCCCUCAGAGCAGGAAGCUUCCAAUGCCCUUUGAGCUUCAGCAGAGCCCUGGCCCACGGCUCUAUGGAAGAAUGUGGGUAGUAAUCAGGGCCUGAGGCCAGCCUCUCUCUGUGUACCUGUGACCACCACUCGAUUGGAGGGCCACACGUGGCUGGGUAGUGGGGUCCUCCGUGGCCUUUCCUGAAAAGAAUGUAGACAUGUGAUCAUGAGAUUUGUAGGAAGCACUCAGUAAUUACAGUAGGACCCAGGACUCCGGGAGCCAGGUUUCAGCGAGCUGCAUGGAAAGAGUUCAAAGACGCCUGAGAUGGAAGCCCGGUUGGUUUUCUUUCCAUGGUCCUGUAGCUGCUUUUUCUGAGACUUUCCUAACUUCUCUGCAGCCGAGGGGAACAUUAGUCUAAACCUGGGUCACUUUGUGUUGACCGGGACUGCAGUUAGUGCUCCCCUGUCUGCCACCACAAGAACACUGUGUGCACCAACUGGAGUUUGGGUUCCUCUAAAAAAAGAUCUUGAACUGCAGCAAUUGCACUGGAUUUAAAGGUCCA
rnacentral:lncRNA from 1 species